AGAAGACGGGAAGUGGCUGAGGGGAACGUCUUUUCUCUCUCCUGCUCAGCCCGAAGUGAACAGGUAGCAUCAGGUGUGCCAUUUCAGUGACUGGGCACAGCCCAGGCACCCACAUCUCUCUGCAGCGCCUAUUCUUGGAACACCAGAGACCUCUACACUAUUUUCUGUUGCUUUUUUCCUUCAUUUUCAGAGAUGAGAUCCUGGAUUGAAUGACUACUAUGGAAAGUGAUUGACCAAGAUUGUCUCCAUUCCUCCCUGGCUUCUCCACAGGGCCGCUCACCAUGGCAGCCGGCUCCAUCACCACCAGCCAGCGAGAGGGCAAGACAAGAGGGCUGACGAGGGACGCUACCAUCACAGAGGAUUAUAAACACUAGUCAUAAAGCAUGAACUGCCUGGGGGUGGUGGCUCACACCUGUAAUCCCAGCACUUUGGGAGGCAGUUGGAUCACCUGAGGUCAGGAGUUUGAGACUAGCCUGACCAAUAUGGUGAAACCCCACCUCUAGCUGGGUGUGGUGGUGUGCACCUGUAAUCCCAGCUACUUGGAGACAGGAGAAUCGCUUGAACCUGGGAGGUGGAAGUUGCAGUGAGUGGAGAUCAUGCCAUUGUACUCCAGCCUGGGCGACAGAGCAAGACUUCAUCUCAAAAAUAAGCAUUGACAACUGCGGGUCAAAACUGCCCCUGGUUGAGACUCACUGGCUGGAGCCAAAAGGCUGAGCUGCCUGCCCAACAGCAGCAGGGAAGGACAUCUGAUCCAGGCAGACUAGACCACCUGGGAUGAACAGACAAUCCUCAGAAGAACGAUCGAUUAGUGAUGUCUGCUUCAGG
rnacentral:lncRNA from 1 species